rnacentral:rRNA from 1 species
UACGGGGGGGGCUAGCGUUGUUCGGAAUUACUGGGCGUAAAGGGCGCGUAGGCGGUCUGCUAAGUUGGAUGUGAAAACUCUGGGCUUAACCCAGAGCCUGCAUUCAAUACUGACAGGCUAGAGUUCUGGAGGGGAUAGCGGAAUUCCUGGUGUAGCGGUGAAAUGCGUAGAUAUCUGGAGGAACACCGGUGGCGAAGGCGGCAUCCUGGACCGACAUUGACGCCGAGGCGCGAAAGCCAGGGGAGCAAACGGG